GGGGGCGAAUUGGAUUCGACCGGGCGAUGGAAGUGUAGACGGCGUGCCGUGGUUGGUCAGCAGGCCACGUUAAAAGCCGACCAAUAAACUUAAUUGCCGAGUCUAAUCUCGCAAUGGCUGCCUAAUAAAGGCAACCCCGGCUGAGGGCUUUCGCCGGAGAGGCCCGACUGCCGGCCACAAUUCCGGAUCGUCUCGGGUCACCGUUGGGCACGCCCGAGAUUAAAAAUGUUUCCGACUAGCUUUGGUUUCACCCCGUCGGUUGGGGGCUAUCGAAGCGAAGGCGUAAAUCAUCCGACUACGCACGUAGAAGCAUGCACGGAAACGUCGCGGGACGCGGGUUCGAUCCCCGCCGCCUCCACCU
rnacentral:tmRNA from 1 species